GACGAACGCUGGCGGCGUGCUUAACACAUGCAAGUCGAACGGAAAGGCCCUGCUUUUGUGGUGUGCUCGAGUGGCGAACGGGUGAGUAACACGUGAGUAACCUGCCCUUGACUUUGGGAUAACUUCAGGAAACUGGGGCUAAUACCGGAUAGGAGCUCCUGCUGCAUGGUGGGGGUUGGAAAGUUUCGGCGGUUGGGGAUGGACUCGCGGCUUAUCAGCUUGUUGGUGGGGUAGUGGCUUACCAAGGCUUUGACGGGUAGCCGGCCUGAGAGGGUGACCGGCCACAUUGGGACUGAGAUACGGCCCAGACUCCUACGGGAGGCAGCAGUGGGGAAUAUUGCACAAUGGGCGGAAGCCUGAUGAAGCAACGCCGCGUGCGGGAUGACGGCCUUCGGGUUGUAAACCGCUUUCGCCUGUGACGAAGCGUGAGUGACGGUAAUGGGUAAAGAAGCACCGGCUAACUACGUG
rnacentral:rRNA from 1 species